CUUGGAGCUGCCAGGGCCGUUCAUGGGCCUUGCACGAGGCGAUCGCCAGCCCUCAGGCAGGUCAGGCCAUGCCCUUUCCUCCUGCCGCAAAACCUGCAUCACCCUGCCCACGCAUGGGCUCAGCAGCCUUCUCUUCCUCCCUGCAGCUGCCUCGGGCUGGCCCCAGCCUGGGUGAGGAGAGCGGAGGGCACAGCCCCAGCGGCCUUGACAGAGGAAGGAUAUCGGUGCUUUUAAUGGGUGUUCACACAGACAUAACUACAGGCGAUGGAAAGAAACUGAAAAGCGUGAGCAUGGAGGAGAUGCGUCAGACAACAUCCCAUGGUGGAGCCUGAGGGAAACGCCGGCCACCUCACCGCCCUAGGUCCUGGUCCUUGAGAGCCCCCCACAACCAGGCUUUAGCCAAGGGCUGAAGAGCAUGCAGGCCUGGGUUUCUGAAGAGGUUUGCCUGGUGUGCAGAAAAUAUCCACGGCCAUCCCAUGGUCCUCACCUCGGCUUUGAGCCCAGCUCAGCUCCUCACUAGGCCUGGGAGAGCAGGACCAAUUCUCUCUUCUGCAGCCUUGUGCCAGACCUCAAGGUGGAGGAUAUCAUGAGAUACCAUAAAUUGCCUGACAAUCCAGGAGUUAUAUGAGAAGUCCAUACAUACUGGCCUUAUUUUACUCUCAAGUCUGAAGCAGACCUGACUGGGGAUUUCUGGGGGACAUUACUACCCCUGCAAGCUGUCACCCAGCCUAGGCAAGGCCUUCACAAUGCCGGCUUUUUACAAUCCAACAUAAACAUGCAACUGGGAGGAUGCCAGAUUUGCAUUUUCUUAUAAAAACACAGAUUUUCAGCUCUCAUUCCUCAAAUUCAAACUCCACCCAUUGCACCAAUCAUCCCCAAAAGCAUCGGCAGGUCUCCUGGCACAUGUAUAAAAGCAGACGGGGCAGGACACCCCUCACAGUGUGCUGUACAU